UACGUAGGGGGCAAGCGUUGUCCGGAAUCAUUGGGCGUAAAGCGUGUGUAGGCGGCCAUGUAAGUCAGGUGUGAAAGCCCCGGGCUCAACCCGGGAAGUGCACUUGAUACUGCGUGGCUUGAGUACUGGAGAGGUUGGUGGAAUUCUCGGUGUAGAGGUGAAAUUCGUAGAUAUCGAGAGGAACACCGGUGGCGAAGGCGGCCAACUGGACAGAUACUGACGCUGAGACACGAAAGCGUGGGGAGCAAACAGG
rnacentral:rRNA from 1 species